GAGUUUGAUCAUGGCUCAGAACGUACGCUGGCGGCACGCCUAACACAUGCAAGUCGAACGAAGUAGCAAUACUUAGUGGCAGACGGGUGAGUAACAUGUAGGUAUCUGCCCUUUGGCCUGGAAUAACACGAGGAAACUUGUGCUAAUACCGGAUAAGUCUUUACGGAGAAAGCUUUAUGCACCAUUGGAUGAGCCUGCACUUGAUUAGUUUGUUGGUGGGGUAAUGGCCUACCAAGACUGUGAUCAAUAGCUGAUUUGAGAGGAUGAUCAGCCACAUUGGGACUGAGACACGGCCCAAACUCCUACGGGAGGCAGCAGUGGGGAAUCUUGCACAAUGGAGGAAACUCUGAUGCAGCGAUGCCGCGUGAGUGAAGAAGGCCCUUGGGUUGUAAAGCUCUUUCGUCGGGGAAGAAAAUGACUGUACCCGAAUAAGAAGGUCCGGCUAACUUCGUGCCAGCAGCCGCGGUAAUACGAAGGGACCUAGCGUAGUUCGGAAUUACUGGGCUUAAAGAGUUCGCAGGUGGUUGAAAAAGUUGGUGGUGAAAUCCCAGAGCUUAACUCUGGAACUGCCAUUAAAACUUUUCAGCUAGAGUAUGAUAGAGGAAAGCAGAAUUUCUAGUGUAGAGGUGAAAUUCGUAGAUAUUAGAAAGAAUACCAAUUGCGAAGGCAGCUUUCUGGAUCAUUACUGACACUGAGGAACGAAAGCAUGGGUAGCGAAGAGGAUUAGAUACCCUCGUAGUCCAUGCCGUAAACGAUGUGUGUUAGACGUUGGAAAUUUAUUUUCAGUGUCGCAGGGAAACCGAUAAACACACCGCCUGGGGAGUACGACCGCAAGGUUAAAACUCAAAUGAAUUGACGGGGACCCGCACAAGUAGUGGAGCAUGUGGUUUAAUUCGAAGAUACGCGCAGAACCUUACCAACACUUGACAUGUUCGUCGCGACUCUAAGAGAUUAGAGUUUUCGGUUCGGCCGGACGAAACACAGGUGCUGCAUGGCUGUCGUCAGCUCGUGUCGUGAGAUGUUGGGUUAAGUCCCGCAACGAGCGCAACCCUCACUUUUAGUUGCCAUCAUUAAGUUGGGCACUCUGAAAGAACUGCCAGUGAUAAGCUGGAGGAAGGUGGGGAUGACGUCAAGUCCUCAUGGCCCUUACGUGUUGGGCUACACACGUGCUACAAUGGUAUCUACAACAGGAAGCAAGACUGCGAAGUUAAGCAAAUCCCUAAAAGAUACCUCAGUUCGGAUUGCACUCUGCAACUCGAGUGCAUGAAGCUGGAAUUACUAGUAAUCGUGGAUCAGCGUGCCACGGUGAAUGCGUUCCCGGGUCUUGUACACACCGCCCGUCACACCAUGGGAGUUGGUUCUACCUUAAGGCAAGGUUUCAAACCCUUGACCACGGUAUAGUCAGCGACUGGGGUGAAGUCGUAACAAGGUAACC
rnacentral:rRNA from 1 species